UACAGAGGUCCCAAGCGUUGUUCGGAUUCACUGGGCGUAAAGGGUGCGUAGGUGGUGAGGUAAGUCCGAUGUGAAAGCUCCGAGCUCAACUCGGAAAUUGCAUUAGAAACUACCUUGCUAGAGGGUUGGAGGGGGGACUGGAAUUCUCGGUGUAGCAGUGAAAUGCGUAGAUAUCGAGAGGAACACCAGUGGCGAAGGCGAGUCCCUGGACAACUCCUGACACUGAGGCACGAAGGCCAGGGGAGCAAACAGG
rnacentral:rRNA from 1 species